rnacentral:rRNA from 1 species
UACGUAGGUGGCAAGCGUUAUCCGGAAUUAUUGGGCGUAAAGCGCGCGCAGGCGGUCCUUUAAGUCUGAUGUGAAAGCCCACGGCUCAACCGUGGAGGGUCAUUGGAAACUGGGGGACUUGAGUGCAGAAGAGGAGAGCGGAAUUCCACGUGUAGCGGUGAAAUGCGUAGAGAUGUGGAGGAACACCAGUGGCGAAGGCGGCUCUCUGGUCUGUAACUGACGCUGAGGCGCGAAAGCUAGGGGAGCGAACGGG